rnacentral:rRNA from 1 species
ACGUACCCUGGAGUGGGGGAUAACGUAGCGAAAGUUACGCUAAUACCGCAUACGAUCUAAGGAUGAAAGCAGGGGACCGCAAGGCCUUGUGCUCCUGGAGCGGCCGAUAUCUGAUUAGCUAGUUGGUAGGGUAAAAGCCUACCAAGGCAUCGAUCAGUAGCUGGUCUGAGAGGACGACCAGCCACACUGGAACUGAGACACGGUCCAGACUCCUACGGGAGGCAGCAGUGGGGAAUUUUGGACAAUGGGCGCAAGCCUGAUCCAGCA